UACGUAGGGUGCAAGCGUUGUUCGGAAUUAUUGGGCGUAAAGAGCUCGUAGGCGGUUUGUUGCGUCGGCUGUGAAAUCCCGAGGCUCAACCUCGGGUCUGCAGUCGAUACGAGCAAACUAGAGUGUUGCAGGGGAGACUGGAAUUCCUGGUGUAGCGGUGAAAUGCGCAGAUAUCAGGAGGAACACCGGUGGCGAAGGCGGGUCUCUGGGCAACAACUGACGCUGAGGAGCGAAAGCGUGGGGAGCAAACAGG
rnacentral:rRNA from 1 species